rnacentral:tRNA from 1 species
GCGCCGGUGGUGUAGUGGCUAGAAUAUUCACGCUCGGUCAGCAUGAGGUGAGGGUUCGAGUCCCGCCUGGCGCU